rnacentral:rRNA from 1 species
GACGAACGCUGGCGGCGUGCCUAAUACAUGCAAGUCGAGCGGACGGAUGGGAGCUUGCUCCCAGACCGUCAGCGGCGGACGGGUGUGUAACACGUGGGCAACCUGCCUGUAAGACUGGGAUAACUCCGGGAAACCGGGGCUAAUACCGGAUAACUCUUUCCCUCACAUGAGGGAAAGCUGAAAGAUGGCAUCUCGCUAUCACUUACAGAUGGGCCCGCGGCGCAUUAGCUAGUUGGUGAGGUAACGGCUCACCAAGGCGACGAUGCGUAGCCGACCUGAGAGGGUGAUCGGCCACACUGGGACUGAGACACGGCCCAGACUCCUACGGGAGGCAGCAGUAGGGAAUCUUCCGCAAUGGACGAAAGUCUGACGGAGCAACGCCGCGUGAGUGAUGAAGGUUUUCGGAUCGUAAAACUCUGUUGUCAGGGAAGAACAAGUACCGGAGUAACUGCCGGUACCUUGACGGUACCUGACCAGAAAGCCACGGCUAACUACGUG